UACAGAGGUCUCAAGCGUUGUUCGGAUUCAUUGGGCGUAAAGGGUGUGUAGGUGGCGCCGUAAGUCGGGUGUGAAAUUUCGGAGCUUAACUCCGAAACUGCAUUCGAUACUGCGGUGCUUGAGGACUGGAGAGGAGACUGGAAUUCAUGGUGUAGCAGUGAAAUGCGUAGAUAUUGGGAGGAACACCAGUGGCGAAGGCGGCUCACUGGACCGGUUCUGACGCUGAGGCGCGAAAGCGUGGGGAGCAAACGGG
rnacentral:rRNA from 1 species